rnacentral:lncRNA from 1 species
GAACACAUUUUGCUUGAUAUAAACCAUGAACAUGUUUGUGUUGAAAAUCUCUCUAAGCUAUCUAGCUGGCUAAAUGACUGGCUAGCCUUUUGCGACGGUGAAACGACUUUAUCAGCCAUAGUAAAUCUAUUUACGAUUGUUGUCAGUGGUAACUUAGCAACUGGAGCAGCUGAUUGGUCAAAUAUGUUCUCAUUGUUCUAUCUGUAUGCUUACCUAAAAUACCAAGUAAGCUCGCCAAAUACGUUGUGUCAGGUAUAUGAAGAAAGUUCCUGUUACCUAGCUGUAACUACACAAUUGUCAAGAUGCCUCCUCAUCUUGACUGGAGUAGGGUAAUUGAUUCUGACCUAGAACAAAUGCAGGAGAGUGGAGAUGCAGAUAUAAUUAACCAAAUGUGUCUACAGGUAACGUUACAGUACUGUUCCAAAAUGCACAUACCUGCACCCCAAAUCCUCUUCUAAUCUGAUACUGUAUCAAUCAAAUAGUCCAAUCUUGUU